rnacentral:rRNA from 1 species
AGGAUGAACGCUGGCGGCGUGCUUAACACAUGCAAGUCGAACGAUGAAGGAGGAGCUUGCUCCUCCAGAUUAGUGGCGAACGGGUGAGUAAUACAUGAGCAAUGUGCCCUUGACUCUGGGAUAAGCGCUGGAAACGGCGUCUAAUACCGGAUACGACCCUCGGAGGCAUCUCCUGAGGGUGGAAAGAACUUCGGUCAAGGAUCAGCUCAUGUCCUAUCAGUUAGUUGGUGAGGUAAUGGCUCACCAAGGACGACG